UGGGGGAUAUUGCACAAUGGGGGGAACCCUGAUGCAGCGACGCCGCGUGGGUGAAGGAGUGCUUCGGCAUGUAAAGCCCUAUCGGCAGGGAAGAAGCAAGACGGUACCUGACUAAGAAGCCCCGGCUAACUACGUGCCAGCAGCCCGCGGUAAUAUCUGUCU
rnacentral:rRNA from 1 species